rnacentral:lncRNA from 1 species
GGGACUGGGGGCCUGAGGCCACGCCCUCUGUGUUGAGUUUAGUUCCGCCCUAGUUAGGCCUCUUGCAGGCAGCCCGCGGAGCUGCACUGAGACUCUUGGAGAGCAUUUCCAAGUGAUAGAAGGCACUGUGCGCAAGUGGCCCUUCCCCUUUCCCUCUCCCUGCCCCGGGAUUUCAGAAGAAACCCGUAGGCAGAAAUUGGCCAGAGCUAGGCAAAAGUUGUGAGAGUUUCAAGAAAGAAACACUCUUUUGGGUCCUUCUCUGGAUGAGAAGAAGAAAAGCAUAAAUCCCGGGAUAUCCACUGGUGGCAAAUGUCACCCACCUGACGAGAGCCAGGAUGCCACCAGUGGCCCCAAGGUCCUGGCUCAGAACAACCCUAGGACGUACUUCUCCGAUGACAUCCAGAGGGUCCUGAAUGAGGGCAGCGGACAAAGGUGAAAGCAGAGAAGGAGGAGCAGGACAGGAAGGUCAAGGAGCUAGAGAAGAGCCUGAUGGACCUGAAGGCAGACAUGGGUGAGUGAGCACAAGGCUGACCUGGGAGUUGGACCCGGUCUCUGGGCUGUGGCUGUGGCUGUGGCCUGCACUUUCCUAAGGAGCGACGUACACUCAAGGGAUGGGGCAGAGAGAAAGGGCUCUGUGACGGGAGCUGGCAA